rnacentral:rRNA from 1 species
GACGAACGCUGGCGGCGUGCUUAACACAUGCAAGUCGAACGGAAAGGCCCUCCUUUUGUGGGGUGCUCGAGUGGCGAACGGGUGAGUAACACGUGAGUAACCUGCCCUUGACUUUGGGAUAACUUCAGGAAACUGGGGCUACUACCGCAUAGGAGCUACUGCUGCAUGGUGGUGGUUGGAAAGUUUCGGCGGUUGGGGAUGGACUCGCGGCUUAUCAGCUUGUUGGUGGGGUAGUGGCUUACCAAGGCUUUGACGGGUAGCCGGCCUGAGAGGGUGACCGGCCACAUUGGGACUGUGAUGCGGCCCAGACUCCUACGGGAGGCAGCAGUGGGGAAUCUUGCCCAAUGGGCGGAAGCCUGAUGCAGCAACGCCGCGUGCGGGAUGACGGCCUUCGGGUUGGAAGCCGCUUUCGCCUGUGACGAAGCGUGAGUGCCGGUAAGGGGUAAAGAAGCGCCGGCUAACUACGUGC